AAAUCAUUCCGAUUUUUCAGAUAAUUAUAAUAUUGGUUUUGUAUCAAAGAUGGAGAUGUUAACUCCAAUUACAUAAGUAUGUCUAAGUAACAAUACAACGAUGAAAAUCAUAUUUAUCUCAUUGUAACGCAAUUAUGUAAUUAGUUAUUUAUAAAAUUACUUUAUAAUGUACAUGAGCAAACAAGAUUUGACAUAGUGACUGAGCAACUACAGUCUAAUAUCAGUACACUCGAACCAAAUCUGCUUGAAUACCUUGAUGAUCAAGUCAUGAUACUCAUCAGAAUUCAAUGCAAGAUAACAUGCAAGAAGAUCUUCCAAAUCUUUUGAACUCUUAAUAUUGUUCUCUAUUAUCAUCUCAACCAUUGAUUCCUUAAAAUCCCUCCCGGGAUCCGCGGAUGUUUUCACAACCGCCAAACUUUCGGACAAGCUCCGCCGGUUCCCGUUCCUCCUCCUUAUUCCAUUUACCUUAACCCGGUUCCCUAACCGCGGUGAGUAACCGUUUCCUUUCGCUUUUCUAACCGGACUACCCAUAAGGCCCUCUUUAACAACCCGGCCCCGACUUCCUCCAUUAACCACCCAUUUACCCGACCCGAAUUCAUCCUGUUUGACAGGUUUGGUUAUUAUCCGCGGGAGGUCAACUCUCGCAUAAACCUCCUCGUUUAACGAAUUUGUUGUGCACGAACAACCAACAGGUCUCGGUUGUUCGGGCAACAAAGCUUCGUUAUCCGAGAAAAUUGCUAUGGAGUCCGUUUCAAAAGACUCCGGUACGAUCUCAAUCUCAGGAGAAAUCAAUUUUCGCCGAAUUGGUUUCUUCGGGGUAGUAGGUCUUUUUUUCUUGGAUGACUUUCUGGGCCCGCGACUCUCGGGUGGUGACGGAUCCUGAACAGGGGUGGUCGUCGGGUCGGGUACACUUAACUCUCUAGUGAAAUAAUAGGAUUUUCUGUGGUGUAUUGCGGGUUGUGAUGAUACAGAUGAUGAAGAAGAUGAAGUUGUGAUGGGUUGUGUU
rnacentral:lncRNA from 1 species